AUUCUCGACUGAAAUGCUUCGUUAAGAAGACUUGAGUUUCAUGAAUGGUGCUUGAUAAUACGUCGAUAAAUCUGCGGCAAUAAACCAUUGUGACAAUUAUACGACUGUUACGAGACUAUUGUUCAUAACUAAUCUUCGUUAUAAUAGAUUUCUGAAAGUCUUUGGAAAAUUUGAUAUUUUUAUACUGCUAUUAACGACAAUUACUUACUAUUUAAUUGAUAUAUAUAUGUGCUUUCCUUAUUUAGAUGGUACAAUACAGACUGAAGUAUAGCUAUAGCAUAAUAUAAUACCAACAAUAGCAAAUGAUACUUAUUAAAAAAUACUGAUAAGCACACCGAUUAACAAAAUUUAGCUGACGAGAACAUUGACGACUGCACAAUGUCUUCGCAAUUAAAUUCCACUCCUUUAAGUCGCACGGUUUAAUUCACACCUAACCUUGAUUUGAAUCUCAUUUCAAUGCGGUUCUUAAUGGACUUAAUAGAUUCUAAGUGGAAAAGAGAAUGCACGAUCUCUUUGUUGAAGUAUGAGACAAAGGUAGCGAAAGAAUAGCGAUUGAGAACAAGAAAGUAUGCAGGCGAGGAAGAAAAGGACGUAUGCGAGAAAAAGACAGUGAAAUGAAUAGAGGUUAAAGAACGCGUCGAGGAGAAUCGCGGAACAUCGACGUAGUUCUUGACAGUGGACAUAAACAUACCAGUUCGUAUUCAAUUAAUUAAAAAUAUUAAAAGUUGCACGAUCCAUGGUUAUAUAAAAUUGAAUUAUUUAUCAAUUUUUAACGAGUACUAUAGACGAUGACGUUGAUGUCGUUUCUCAACGACUGCUGAUGGGUCCUCCCAUUUAUAACUACUUGGUUUAUUAGAUUCCGAAGCGCGUUGAAUCGCGAAAGGUUAAAGAAGGAUGCUGCCGCGGUGAGUUGUGUGAGCUCUAACUUGUCCGCGACAUGUUUGGACUGUGACCGUCACUUAAAGCUUAAACAUGUGGUGCACGUGUCUCCCUUACAAAGCACGCCGUGCCACCGUCCCGUGGUACAUUCCACCGACUCGAAUCCCUAAUCUUCCCUC